GACGAACGCUGGCGGCGUGCUUAACACAUGCAAGUCGAACGGAAAGGCCCUGCUUUUGUGGGGUGCUCGAGUGGCGAACGGGUGAGUAACACGUGAGUAACCUGCCCUUGACUUUGGGAUAACUUCAGGAAGCUGGGGCUAAUACCGGAUAGGAGCUCCUGCUGCAUGGUGGGGGUUGGAAAGUUUCGGCGGUUGGGGAUGGACUCGCGGCUUAUCAGCUUGUUGGUGGGGUAGUGGCUUACCAAGGCUUUGACGGGUAGCCGGCCUGAGAGGGUGACCGGCCACAUUGGGACUGAGAUACGGCCCAGACUCCUACGGGAGGCAGCAGUGGGGAAUUUUGCACAAUGGGCGGAAGCCUGAUGCAGCAACGCCGCGUGCGGGAUGACGGCCUUCGGGUUGUAAACCGCUUUCGCCUGUGACGAAGCGUGAGUGACGGUAAUGGGUAAAGAAGCACCGGCUAACUAUGUG
rnacentral:rRNA from 1 species